UACGUAGGGUGCAAGCGUUGUCCGGAAUUAUUGGGCGUAAAGAGCUCGUAGGCGGUCUGUCGCGUCUGCUGUGAAAACUCAGGGCUUAACCCUGAGCUUGCAGUGGGUACGGGCAGACUAGAGUGCGGUAGGGGAGACUGGAAUUCCUGGUGUAGCGGUGAAAUGCGCAGAUAUCAGGAGGAACACCGGUGGCGGAAGGCGGGUCUCUGGGCCGUAAACUGACGC
rnacentral:rRNA from 1 species